AAACAAGAUAAAACAAAAAAUGAUAAUACUAGAGAUAUGGGGUUUUGUGAUUAUAAACGAGAGAAAAUAAAGAAACAACAUAAAGCAGAAAAGAUCAGAUGAAUGAGACGUUAGAGACUUCGAAAUCCACCACCAAGUAUGUUUCAAGACAUGUUAACAACCAAAGCUUCAAUUAUUAAGUCGCAAAUCGGUAUCAAUCAAGAACAAAUCGUGAAAGCACUGCGUAAGUCCUUAUUACUUCCCUUGAAUAUUUAAGCAAGACGAACGCACCAUUACUAAGCCUUUAGAAUAACCGAUCAAGGUAUAGACGUUAUCCUAUCAACAAAUUAUUUUAAGCAUUAAGAUCAAUGAAAGUUUGAUUGAACAAGUAUGCAAAACUAGUGUGGAACGCCUACCUAGCAUGCAAUCCUUUUUAUUUGGUUUCACCUAUUGUCCUAUAGGUUUUACUAUCUUGAAUUAAGCCUUAUUAACCGUUUAGGAGAUUAAACAACAUAAUUAUAGCCCCACUCACAAGUUCAUAAUGUUCUAUGUUACGAAUAUAUGAACAUAAACAAGUAAGAGUUCUCCAUAAACCAAAAUCAAAUAAACAAUUUGAAAGACUCAAUAAAUUGAAACCAAAGUUCAAAACAAUAUCUCAAACAUUCUUGGGGCUUCAAACCUUGCCCCUAACUAAGAGAAUUCAGCCACACAUGGUUGCAAAAUCACACAAGAAGAAUAAAAGAUGACAAAGGAAAGAUAAACCGUGGAUGAUGAAGAGAUCAAUGAUGGCUUGGCGGCUUCCUUGUGCGAGUCUACAACUAUGGAGGUUAUGAUGAUGUGAGAUCGCUGCCUCCUCUAAUCUUCACGUCCUCCUCCCUUUUUUGCUGUGGUUAGGAUUAUGAAACCCUCAAAACUCGUUCAUGGGCUUACCAAUGUGGUUUGGGGCUCAAAAUAGAAGUUUUGCUCCAAAUCAGAAAUUCGGGCAGAUUGACCUUCGGCCACUCAAACAGUCAUAACUUCUUCUCCAAAAUAUGUAUUGACGAUCCGUAAAAAGUUCUGGAAAGUAGACUCUUGUAGCUUUCCAUUGAUAUAUAGCACAUCUCUUGGAUCGUUGUGAGCUAAUCACAAUCUUCUGUCGAAUUUGACUGAUAAUCUCUGGCAAAUUUUCUGAUUUAUUUUCUCUGCACAACAUGAAUUUCUUUUCCUUCAAGAUUUCUCCUUUUUCGUCCAUUUUGGGCUCCUUGGCUUUAUUUAUGACCUAAAAAUACAAACUUAGUUAAUAUGAAUAUUGUUAAAGGAAUUACAUAGCUAAAUAGGUUUGGAAAUACCUUAUAAACGUACCACUUUGUGCUCCUAUCAGAGGUGUUGGAGAAUGUGGGAGACUCCCACAUUGGAAAAAUAGU
rnacentral:lncRNA from 1 species